CGUAAACGAUGUCGACUUGGAGGUUGUGCCCUGAGGCGUGGCUUCCGGAGCUAACGCGUUAAGUCGACCGCUGGGGAGUACGGCCGCAAGGUUAAAACUCAAAUGAAUUGACGGGGGCCCGCACAGCGGUGGAGCAUGUGGUUUAAUUCGAUGCAACGCGAAGAACCUUACCUGGCCUUGACAUCCAGAGAACUUAGCAGAGAUGCUUUGGUGCCUUCGGGAACUCUGAGACAGGUGCUGCAUGGCUGUCGUCAGCUCGUGUUGUGAAAUGUUGGGUUAAGUCCCGCAACGAGCGCAACCCUUAUCCUUUGUUGCCAGCGGUUCGGCCGGGAACUCAAAGGAGACUGCCGGUGAUAAACCGGAGGAAGGUGGGGAUGACGUCAAGUCAUCAUGGCCCUUACGGCCAGGGCUACACACGUGCUACAAUGGCGCAUACAAAGAGAAGCGACCUCGCGAGAGCAAGCGGACCUCAUAAAGUGCGUCGUAGUCCGGAUUGGAGUCUGCAACUCGACUCCAUGAAGUCGGAAUCGCUAGUAAUCGUAGAUCAGAAUGCUACGGUGAAUACGUUCCCGGGCCUUGUACACACCGCCCGUCACACCAUGGGAGUGGGUUGCAAAAGAAGUAGGUAGCUUAACCUCCGGGAGGGCGCUUACCACUUUGUGAUUCAUGACUGGGGUGAAGUCGUAACAAGGUAACCAAGGGCGAAUUCUG
rnacentral:rRNA from 1 species